CAGGCUAUAGAAUUAUUGGGUAAGACAUCAUCUUCAUGAGAGAUUGUUGUGUAAGAAGCAAUAUUGUCAAGCAAAGCCAGAGACCUAAACAGGACAGAGAAUAGAAGUGGUAUCGAUAAAAAAAAGGAGGCUUUGUCAUUAUCAAUCUGUUAAGAAUUUAACAGACAUCCAUACAUGUUUCAUUAAUACAGGACAUCAGAUCGAACGGCAAGCUGAUUUCCACCCAGGUAUUGGUCUGCUCUGCAAACUUCCA